AUCCAAAGCCACCAGAGCCUCUGACAGUUGAGUCAAGAUCAUCAACUUGCUCCACCUCUGGUGUCACAAUUUUCUGAACAAUAAGCUGAGCUAUCCUAUCACCAGCCUUGACUUCAAAAUCAACUUCAGAGUGGUUGAACAAUACUACCCCAACAGGCCCUCUAUAAUCAGCAUCUAUGACUCCAGCUCCAACAUCUAUAGAAUACUUCCAUGCCAAACCAGAACGAGGUGCAAUACGAGCAUAGGUUCCUUGAGGAACAGCAAUACUGAGAUCUGUGGGUACAAGAGCCUUGCCUCUGGCGGGAACUUUAGUCUCUGCAGCACUUGAUAGAUCAUAACCAGCAGCAAGAGAAGAGGCUCUUGAGGGCAAAACAGCGUUUUCAGAGAGCUUCUUCACUCGGAAAAAGGGGACAUUGCCGUUUUCAGGGUGGUCCAGUUUCUGAACCUUGGGAGAAGGUUCUGUGAUCUCAGGAGAGUUGAUCUGAUUUUCUGCCAUUUUUGGAAGAAGGAAUGUUGAAGACAAGUUUAUGACAGUGUUAGGGUUUGUAGAGUGAGUGGGAGGUUUAUGUAG
rnacentral:misc_RNA from 1 species